GAUGAACGCUGGCGGCGUGCUUAACACAUGCAAGUCGAACGAAGCAGCUUUCUUGCUUGCGAGAAAGCUGACUUAGUGGCGGACGGGUGAGUAACGCGUGGGUAACCUGCCUCAUACAGGGGGAUAACAGUUGGAAACGACUGCUAAGACCGCAUAACCCGCUAGUGUCGCAUGACACGGACGGAAAAUAUUUAUAGGUAUGAGAUGGGCCCGCGUCUGAUUAGCUAGUUGGUAAGGUAACGGCCUACCAAGGCGACGAUCAGUAGCCGACUUGAGAGAGUGAUCGGGCACAUUGGGACUGAGACACGGCCCAAACUCCUACGGGAGGCAGCAGUGGGGAAUAUUGGACAAUGGGGGAAACCCUGAUCCAGCGACGCCGCGUGAGUGAAGAAGUAUUUCGGUAUGUAAAGCUCUAUCAGCAGGGAAGAUAAUGACAGUACCUGACUAAGAAGCCCCGGCUAACUACGUGCCAGCAGCCGCGGUAACAC
rnacentral:rRNA from 1 species